AUGGGGAUCUUGUGCUGGUGGAUGGCUCAGGCCGGUAGCACUCCUGUUCCCCUCAUGGGCCAGUUGCCGUGGGAGGCCCACCUCCUGCUGACAAGGAAGAUGAUCGAUUCUUCGGUCAGCUUAGGCCCCACAGAGUCCUUGAUUCGGCGUGGCCUGGCAUGUAUGGUGCACCCCGUGCUGGCAGGUGACUCAGGACGGAGCAGUUUCCAUGAGAGGUCCACCGCUUACUGGCAAGGAAGAUGGAUGAUUCUUCUGAUCAAUGGAGGCCACGUUGAAUCCUUGAUUCGGCAUAGCCUGGCAUUUUCAGUGCACCCUGUGCUGAUGGGUGGCUCAGGACGGGGCAGUUGCCUCGAGAGGCCCGCUGCCUGAUGGCAUGACACAUGAUCGAUUCUUCUGUGGAAUCAGUGUGGCCUGGCAUCCAUGGUGAACCUUGUGCUGGCAGGUGGCUCAGGACGGAGCAGUUGUCGUGACAGGUCCAUUGCUUGCUGGCAAGGAAGAUGGGCAGUUCUUCUGACCAACAGAGGCCGCGUUGAGUUCUUGAUGCGGCAUGGCCUGACAUCUGCAGUGCACCCCAUGAUGGCAGCUGGCUCAGGACGGGGCAGUUGCUGUGGGAGGCACAGCACCUGUUGGAAAGAAGAUGGUCAAUUCCUCCAAACAACAAAGGCCACGUGGAGUCCUGGUUUCAGUGAGGCCUGGCUUCCACAGUGGUCCUGGUGCUGGUGGGUGGCCCGGAUGCACGCUCACUUCAUCUGCGCCUCCCUGGUUGCAUUGGCUUGGAAGGAAGGCCCUUGUUCAAGAAGGAUGGUCUUCAUCUUGUGUAAUCUUUGGAGAUGCCAUGGGCCCCCUGGAUAUAUGGUCUGGGCUCCUUCAGAGCCUUUUGGAUUUCUCCUGAAUGGGCAGUUGCCUUGA
rnacentral:lncRNA from 13 species